ensembl:miRNA Gm26398 predicted gene, 26398
UGUGAUGCCCACCAAGAAUGUGCAUGUGUGUAUAGUUGUGUGCAUAUUCAUUUCUCUAUAUGAAUAUGCAUAUGCACACAUGCACACACAUUCAUAGGAAUGGCCAGAGUUAUUUCUUAGGUAGGAG